rnacentral:rRNA from 1 species
CAGUCGCCACGGUAAUACAGAGGGUGCGAGCGUUAAUCGGAUUUACUGGGCGUAAAGCGUGCGUAGGCGGCUAAUUGAGUCGGAUGUGAAAUCCCCGAGCUUAACUUGGGAAUUGCAUUCGAUACUGGUUAGCUAGAGUGUGGGAGAGGAUGGUAGAAUUCCAGGUGUAGCGGUGAAAUGCGUAGAGAUCUGGAGGAAUACCGAUGGCGAAGGCAGCCAUCUGGCCUAACACUGACGCUGAGGUACGAAAGCAUGGGGAGCAAACAGGAUUAGAUACCCGAGUAGUCCCUGUCUCUUAUAC